UACCCGCAGAAGGACGGAAAGACCCUAUGCACCUUAACUGUAGGCUACAAUUGCUCGUUGAUUCUUGAUGCUUAGUUGUAAGUGGUAGGCUGUGAAUUUAAGUUUUAGGAUUUAAAUGAGCCAUCAAUGAAACACCACCCUUUAAUAAUUAACGAACUAACGCAUUUUAUGCAGACUAUUGUAGUUGGUCAGUUUUACUGGGGCGGUAUCCUCCCAAAAAGUAACGGAGGAGCGCGAAGGUUUGCUCAGUGUGUUUGGUAAUCACACCUUGAGUGCAUUGGCAUAAGCAAGCUUAACUGUAAGACCAACAAGUCGAACAGAUGCGAAAGCAGGUCAAAAGUGAUCCGGCGGAUUUAAAGUGGAAUUGCCGUCGCUUAACGGACAAAAAGGUACGCUAGGGAU
rnacentral:rRNA from 1 species